UCCGGCUUAUCACCGGCAGUCCCACUAGAGUGCCCAACUGAAUGAUGGCAACUAAUGGCGAGGGUUGCGCUCGUUGCGGGACUUAACCCAACAUCUCACGACACGAGCUGACGACAGCCAUGCAGCACCUGUCACCGGUCCAGCCGAACUGAAGGCCCCUCUUUCGAGAGGCCGCGACCGGGAUGUCAAACCUAGGUAAGGUUCUUCGCGUUGCUUCGAAUUGAACCACAUGCUCCACCGCUUGUGCGGGUCCCCGUCAAUUCCUUUGAGUUUUAAUCUUGCGACCGUACUCCCCAGGCGGGAUGCUUAAAGCGUUAGCUGCGCCACUGACGGGUAAACCCGCCAACGGCUAGCAUCCAUCGUUUACGGCGUGGACUAC
rnacentral:misc_RNA from 1 species